rnacentral:rRNA from 1 species
UACAGAGGGUGCGAGCGUUGUUCGGAAUUAUUGGGCGUAAAGCGCUUGUAGGCGGCACGUCAAGUCGCGUGUGAAAUCCCCAGGCUUAACCUGGGAAGUGCGCGCGAAACUGACGAGCUUGAGUGCCGGAGAGGGUCGCGGAAUUCCCGGUGUAGAGGUGAAAUUCGUAGAUAUCGGGAGGAACACCAGUGGCGAAGGCGGCGACCUGGACGGACACUGACGCUCAGGCACGAAAGCGUGGGGAGCAAACAGG